rnacentral:lncRNA from 1 species
UGGAGCUUCUCUUGGUGUUGGUAUGCAACACCACGCCGCCGACGGUUUCUCCGGUCUCCAUUUCAUCAACACCUGGUCUGAUAUGGCUCGCGGUCUCGACCUUACCAUUCCCCCUUUCAUUGACCGCACCCUCCUCCGCGCCAGGGACCCUCCUCAGCCUGCUUUCGAUCACGUUGAGUACCAGCCUGCCCCCUCCAUGAAGAUCCCUCUCGAUCCUUCCAAGUCAUCCCCUGACAGUACCACCGUCUCCAUCUUCAAAUUAUCUCGCGACCAGCUUG